GAUGAACGCUGGCGGCGUGCCUAAUACAUGCAAGUCGAGCGAACGGACGAGAAGCUUGCUUCUCUGAUGUUAGCGGCGGACGGGUGAGUAACACGUGGAUAACCUACCUAUAAGACUGGGAUAACUUCGGGAAACCGGAGCUAAUACCGGAUAAUAUUUUGAACCGCAUGGUUCAAAAGUGAAAGACGGUCUUGCUGUCACUUAUAGAUGGAUCCGCGCUGCAUUAGCUAGUUGGUAAGGUAACGGCUUACCAAGGCAACGAUGCAUAGACGACCUGAGAGGGUGGACGCACACCCUGGAACUGAGACACGGCCCAGACUCCUACGGUGGGCAGCAGUAGGGAAUCUUCCGGGAGGGGGCAAAGCCGGAUGGAGCAAAGCGGCGUGAGGGAUGAAGGUCUUCGGCUGGUAAAGCUCUGUAGUUCGGAAAGAACAUAUGUGUAAUUAACCGUGCACAUCUUGACGGUACCUAGUGAGAAAGCCACGGCUAACUACGUG
rnacentral:rRNA from 1 species